AGCAGUGUGGCUCAGUGGAAAGAGCACGGGCUUGAGUGAGAGGUCAUGGGUUCGAAUCCCAGCUCCGCUA
rnacentral:tRNA from 1 species